UCCUGACCUCAUGAUCUGCCUAUCUCGGCCUCCCAAAGUGCUAGGAUUACAGGUGUGAGCCACCAUACCUGAACUUUUACGCUCUUAAGCUCCAGGUGUUUCUUCCCUCUUGUUAAAACAGCUCAGCGUUCACCCUAAUGAUUCUGCACUUCCCAGCCCCUGUAUUCCAUCUCCUUUAUUCCCACUUCUCCAAGCUGGGGUUCCUCAUUCUCUUCAUGCAGAUAUCCUUAGAAAAGCUACUGUGUGUUGGCCAUUUAUUGGAGACAGCUCAUUUGGGCAACAGUCUUUCCACAGAUUCUAGGAAGAGUUGCCAGCUCUUCUAACAACUGAAGACCCUCCCUGUCUCCAAACCGAGAUGGGAGUUUCUCUGUCUUUGCUGUGGGCAGUCAUCCCCAAAUCUCAGCAGACUCUUCCUGCUGAUCAGUCUUUCACUUAUUGUUCUGGCCAAAAUUGCUUUCCAUCCUGCUUCCAGAGUUCCCCUUACCUUCAAGCAAUAUUGCUCUCUUCUUCAGCCCCAAAGCUGGAGGCUCCCUGGGGGUGGGGACUGGGUCCUAUUUAAUGACUCUGGCCCAGGGUAGGUGCUUCCGGAGUGUUUGUAAAUGGAUUCUCCUCCUUGUCCUCCUGCUAGGGAUCCCGAGCCCAGGGCAACACUAAUCUGCUUCUGCUCCAGCAGACAGAAGAGGCUGACUGGAAGCAUCCUCCCAGCUCUAAUCCUUGGGACCCCCCAAACAGGCAUCUGUGCUUUCUCCCUGGAAGUGAAAUGGUCAAAACACCUGUCAGAGAGUCAAGAGAGCUGUGCUCAGAUCUGACUCCACCUUGACUUUGUGUGCAACCUUGGCAGCAGCAGUGAAGUAACAUGAGCUUCAGUAGCGACAGCAGUGCCCCCAGUCAUUCAGUAGCAAUGGCAGGCUCAUGGGCUCCAUUCCAUUAUUCACAUACAGUUUGGACCCCUGUGGGUAAAAUCAGAUGAAUCUGCCAACCUUGAACCUCCAAAUCAACCCAGGUCCUCUUUAACAGUGGAAGCAGCCCUCCUCCUCUUCUGAGAAGAUCAUUCUCUUGCUGGAAGACUCGUAAUGACCUCAUCCAAGACAGUUUCCUGCAAGGGGGUGCCUCACCUCAAGGCCAACUCCAGCACCCUUCACUGCUUCCAGACCCUUACACACCCCAGGAGAGCAAGUUCAAAGUCUGACCCAAAGAGAGUCUAUGAUACCAAAGAAUAAAAAUGUUUUGUUGAUGUAUGUUGACAGAGACCUGGGGGAGUAUGUGUGGCAAUGGAACAUAAAGAUGCCAGACCAAGAAGAACAAACCAUAUUAGGCUGGGUUAAAUUUAUGGAUAUUCAUGCAUUUUCUGGAGAGUCUAGAUUUAAUAUGUUAUCUCAGCAUUUGCGAGUGACUCUAAUGGUUUCCUGGAUUGACUGACUGAAACCUGGACUUAGUGGUGGUCUACAUUCAUUGAAGUUGAGAUGCUAGAAUUUCCCUAAGAUACUAUUAAGGGAGGAAUUCGAAGUUUUAAGGAAAUAGAAAUGUUGGGAUGGAUUUACUAUGUACGGUUUUUUAAAAUAUCAUGGGGUGACAUCUUUCUUUUUUAAUUUUAAUUUUAAUUUGUUUUGAGACAGGGUCUCACUAUGUUGCGCAGGCUGAUCUGAAACUCCUGGGCUCGAUUGGUCCUCGCAUCUCAGCCUCCCAAGUAGCUAGGAUUACAGGUGCCCCACCACAGCCAGUUGUUAUGUAUGACUUGACCCUGACCCUAUCACCUUAAAUAACCCUAUCAUUUAAGUCCACCAGGGGGGCCCAGAGGACACUCCUUUCACUAAGUCACUGAGCAAGCACUGGCAGAGAAAGCACUAGUACCAUUCAAAAGCCCUGGAGUACUUUCCUCUAUAGCCUAGGUGUGACAGUGGGAAGUGCCACCACUGAAAUGGGCUUCCUGGUUUUGAUGAGGAGUGGCAGAGUCUAAGUGGCAGCACUUACUGCCAGAGAUGAGUUGGGUGCAAACUCCAUCAUAGCAGCAGAGCCAUAGCAACCACUGGAAUAUUUUGACCCACAGGGACUUUUACUGGAGGUGAAUUCAUCAUAUUGUCCCUAGAAAUCAAACAUUUGAGCAGUUUAAGUCUUACUUGCUCUGUAUAGUCAGAAAAACUUUGGGUCCAGUGAGCAGAGACCUAACUUUAAGUGGAGACAUGGUUUGGCUGUGUCCCCACCAUAAUCUCAUUUUGAAUUCCCACGUGUUGUGGGAGGGACCCAGUGGGAGCUAAUUGAAUCAUGGAGGCAGUUCCUUCCCAUGCUGUUCUUGUGAUAGUAAGUCUUACAAGAUUUGAUGGCUUUGAAAAGCUGGAGUCUCCCUGCACAAGCUCUCUCUUUGCCUGCUGCCAUCCAUGUAAGACAUGACUUGCUCCUCCUUGCCUUCCACCAUGAUUAUGAGGUUUCUCCAGCCACGUGGAACUGUUAGUCCAAUUAAAUCUCUUUCCUUUGUAAAUUGCCCAGUCUUGGCUAUGUCUUUAUCAGCAGUAUGAAAACAGACUAAUAAAGUGGUGAAACAGGCUCACCAUGCACUGGC